CUGGGUGCUCACCCUCCAUAUCACCUGGCAGCAGCCGGCCUCCCUUUGAAACUUGCCGAGCUGGGGUGGGAGUGGAAUGGCCCUGGGUUCCCAGGGUGUCAUUUCGCUAUGGAGGAGCUUCGCACCUCUAUACUGGCCCCAUCCCUGUAAAGAGCUUGAGCCUUCUGAAAAUCCACACCUUGGUAAAGGAAACAUUUUCCAGAGGAAAAUUCUAAAAAUAGAGAGAGUCUGUGUUCUCUUGUUCCUCACAGGCAGAUCCAAACCAUGAUAGUGUUUGGUUAUUCAGGGGAGUCAUCAUGUGGAAGAGGAACAAGAUGAAAAUUGAGAGAGGGCUUUGUAGCACCAAGCCUGUCCUCCUAAUGAGGGGAGUUCUACUGGAUCGGUUUGAAUUCAAGAUGACAGCUGCAGCAGACUUAGUUCUGAAGUCUGACUUGGUAUUCAUUUAUUUUUGUGCAUGCAUGUGUGUAUGUGAAUGAUCUCAUAUAUUAUUUGGAUUUUUUACUAUUAAGUUACUUAUGCCUCUUGUUAGUGUCCCCUUGAAAACAGUGAGACGGUUGGUUGGUUGGUGUUCUUGGCAGUGGUGGGUGACAAAGGCCUCCUCCCAGGCCUGUGCAGUGGGUCCUGUCAGUGUGGAUCAAAGCCUCAACUACUCCCCAUGUCAUUCAAGGUCCUCAAAAUCAUGCCCUACCUCCACGUUCAGUGUCGUCUCCCAUUGCCUACUGCUUGUCCCUCAUCCUGUGGUCUAGCCGACUUCCCUGCUCCUGCUGCUCUUGGAGUGACACUGUUAUGCUUCCGCAUCUUGGCUCAUGUCAUUGUCUCUGCCGGAAUGCCUUUUCCUCUCUUCUCUGCUGCGAGAAUUCUCUGGAUGCAUCAAGGCCCGGAGCACAUGUUUGGUCUGAGUGGUGAGGCCCUUUCAUCCUCUGUCCCCUCCAUGACCGUCUCUCCUAUAGCAUCAUCCUCAGGGCUGGUUUAGCCUCUCAGCUGUGCAGUAGCUCCUGUGUGCUUCUGGCUCUGGGCUGGGCUCUGCGCUUGGCUGAGGCCAGGACCCUCGGACCCACCACUGCAUUCAUGAGUCUAGCACAGGCCUGACCAUACUUGGAGUCACCAGUGCCUGUUGGCACAAAAAAAAAAAA